GGAAAUUUUGCUGUUUUUGGUUAUUAUCUUGAAUAUUAUUAUAGAUAGAGAUAAACAGUAAACAGCAAUAAUGUUCAGCAAAGUAAGAUUUACAAAUAAGUCAACAUGACUGAAAUGGUCAGUUGGCCCCUUUAGGAGUUAUUGCCCUUUAUAGUCAAUUUUUAACCAUUUUUCAUAAAUCUUAGUAAUAUUUUACAAAAAUCUUCUCCUCUAAAACUACUGGGCCAAAUUAAUCCAAACUUGGCCACAAUCAUCUUUUGGGUUAGUGGUUUGAAAAAUGUGUCCGGUGACCCGGCUAUCAAACCAAGAUGGCCGCCAUGGCUAAAAAUAGAACAUGGGGUAAAAUGCAGUUUUUGGCUUAUAACUCAAAACCCAAAGCAUUUAGAGCAAAUCUGACAUUUGGUAAAAUUGUUUAUCAGUUCAAGAUCUAUCUGCCCUGAAAUUUUCAGAUGAAUCGGACAACCCGUUGUUGGGUUGCUGGCCCUGAAUUAGUAAUUUUAAGG
rnacentral:lncRNA from 1 species